rnacentral:lncRNA from 1 species
GGCACCACACAGUCCGAGGACGAACUUGGGACUUGCCAAAAAUCUCCAGCAGGGACAGCCCCCACCAUCACGGCCCCGUGAGCAAAACAGCCCCAGCUUGGUGAACUUACAGAAAUCCACCUGCAGGUCCCGGUAGACCAAGCUGUGGGCACUCGGAGGUUGUUCCAGUUUGGAAGUGAACGUGAUGAUGGAGUCAGGGAAGAGGAAUGCAGAUCUGGGUAAGUCAUUUUUCUUUCUUCCAUCAACACAAGCCCCUUCUCGUUUCUGUACAUAUCCCACAUUGAUAUUCAUAUCCCAUGCUGGUACACACAUCCUUUCUUCCCUGAGUGGGUGGCUUAUUUGUCCUGUCUCAUAUUCUAGACACAUGUGGACAAAGACCACAUCAGAUAGAUUCAUAAACAGUGUAAUUUUUGGAAUAUUGUCAUCAAUAGGAAAAAAAAAUACAGAAUUGGCUUUGAUAAUGAUUUUUGUAGCAUACACAGAGGAAGAACUUAGGGCUGAAUUCUCUCUCUGUCUCUCUUUUAGAAGAAUGGGAUGCAAAAAUCAGUAAGUGUCUUUUUUUUUUUUUUUUUCUUGUCCUCUGCUGGUAAGAGAUGGGUGCUAAAGGCCUGAACUAACAUUAUUUUCUCUAUUUAAAGGGAAGUUAACAGAAGAAUUUGGUAAGUCGCUUGUCUUCCUAACACACACCUAAGUUUGAACGCAUGAGUUUGAUUCUACAGCUGUAGCAUGAGCAAUGACCAACAUGUGUAUUUGUAUUUUUUUUAUUUCAUUUAGAAGAAAGUGACACAGAACUCGGUAAGUGGUUUGGUUUGCUUUUGCUGCUACUGAAGAUGAAAAAAAAAAGUUUCUUUGUGUAGCUUUUGGGCUUGGAAAAACAGCAAACGUCCUUCAGAUCUUAAAUUUGUGCUGAUAAACAGAUAAAGACAAGACAGAUAGCUUUGGUCCCUUCUCCUUAAGUUCUUGGCAUCUUUUUUGGGAGGAGACAAACUGUCUCUCUACAGUCCAACAGCAUUCCCUAAUUCCUUCUUUGGUCCCUUGCUUGCUCACUGAAGUAUGUUGGAGGCGGAGAACUUUUAGGAUUAACACGUGUUUAUUUCUCUAUUAUUCUUAGAGGAAUGUGACACAGAAAAUGGUAAGUGUCCUCCUUCAAUUUAAAAAUAAUAGUGCCCUUCAAAUGGUGUCAGUCAUGCUUUGGAAUAAAACUUUUUUUUUUUAUAAUGCAUACUUUUACAAUACAUUUGCAAUAUAUACUUUUUUUAAUACAAUAAAUACUUUUUUUCUGUCCUUGAGAAUAUUUUCUGCAAUGCUUAGCACAUCAUGUUCUUUUGAAGACAUGUUUGGGGCAGGACUCUUAACAGCAAUUUGCAAUUUGUGCAUUUUUUUUGUCUAGGCUUUGGAAAAUGUAGGAAUAUAAAAGUGUUAAAAUGAAAGCUAAUUGGAAAUUCCUGUAAUAAAUAACCUAUGUCUGGGUCAGUAAAGAGGUUUUGCCCCCUUAAGCUAUGUAAAAAUGAUAUAAAACAUGCAGAAGUGGUGAAAAAUACUUUAAAUUUCCCUUCUUUUCUCUAUUUUUUCUUCUUGUGGGGGACAAAAUGAAGAAAUAGGUAAGCGUUGCUUCAUUGUCUUUAUCAAAUAGAGUCUGAUAAGAGAAUUUCUUGUUUAAUGAACCCUGCAUGAGUACUUAGGAUGCCAUGUAACAGAUGAGACCCAUGGUCCCAUCUACUGUAGGGUCUACGCUUGACCCUACUUGGUAAUAUAAACGCCAAAUUCAUAGGCUCAAGGAGAACAAACUCAAUCAAAUCGCAGUCUUUUAACACGAAUCCCAAUCUGUUUCUUUAUUUUAAGGGGAACUCACAGCUGAGAUAGGUAAGUUUUAUUUUUACCUCCCAUCAAAUAUGUUUUUUUAUGUAGCUUGAGACACGAUUUUCCUGGGGUUUAUUCCCUGUUCUCUUGCCUGAUUUAAAAAAGGCAGGAUAAGCUUGAGGCAUACUCGUUUAUAACAAGAAUAUUAAAAAAAAAAUAAAUACAAUAGAAUAGCACAGAAAACAGUGGGCUUGCAGGUUGCUGUAGCCAAAAAGACAAUAAGAGAUCCUUGGGAAUUUCUGAGAUGAAGACCAAGUGAUGGACCAUGUACCAUAGGGCAGAGAGCUUUGGGGGAUUUGGGGCUGUUGAGAUCCAGUGCAUGCAAAGUGCCAGAUUUCCAAUUAUUCAUUGAGGGAGAGGGAUUAAAAUUUGCAAGAAUUCCUUAAACUUUGCAAAAGUUCCCCCUUUUUUUCCAGUUCAUUGUCCCAUCACUCGUGGUAGAUGUCGCAAGGGAUGCAGAUGAUGGGUAGGGUGUUAGAUACAGAUUUGCCUUAUUUUCUGAUCAAAGGAAGGGUAGGAGCAUCCCUGCCGUCCUUUUACCCCAUCCUUGGGAAAAUCUGCCUUUAUUUUUUUUUCUCUUUUAAGACAAUCUGACUGCGGAGCUUGGUGAGUGAUUUUCCUUCCUUUCUGUCUUUAUUUCACUGCAAGAUUUUAGGGGGAAAAGAUGCUUAUUCCCCACAUACACCCCACAUACACCCAAUCUGGGCUAGAAUUAAGGCCAAACAAUUCAACCCAAAGCCUAACUGCAAAUUCUAAUUACCAGUUUAAAAAUUAAAAUAGGAUUUGGAAGAUAAUUUGAGGCUCACGAACGUGGUGGACUUUUAAUAAUGACCGAUGUUUCUUUUCUCUUUUAGAGGAACGUGAUAGAAAAAUUAGUAAGUGUCAUUUUUCUUUUCUUCUAGAAUAAAAUUCCAGUGUUUUGGAUCUGGUUACUACCAUUUUUAGAUGUUAUGGGAUGUUUUAGCUUCAUACUAACCUGCAGAUGUGGCAGAAUUUGGGAUUUUGGGCUACGAUCGACCCUUUUCCUUUAUCACCACCAAUACCAGAGAUGCGGAGACAGAUUCUUUCCCCAUAGUAUAAGUCUGUUUUCACCAAGCCCUUCUCCCAAGGGGCUUUUUCUGGGCAUCAGCACCUGCUCGUUGCUCUCGUUAGCAUCAGAGUGGUGCAGUUAUAUUAUAAAUUAUCCCUGGGGAAAGAGAAAUGCAGCAUGGUAUCAGCUAGGCUUUAUUCACAGAGAAAUAAAUUCAGCAGAUUUAUGUCUUAUAAUUUAAAUUAAUCUUAUUUUUUUUGGUUUUUUUUUGUUUUUUUUUUUUUUUUUUUACAAGGAAAACUUACUUCAGACCUUGGUAAGGAGUUUUAUUGCCUUAAAAUUCUCCUUAAUUCUGGAAAAGCGAUGGGGAUAACAAGAAAUAUGAAGAGUUUGUGUUUAACCCUGCUUGAAGAAUGGGUGGGUUAAAAGGGCACGUCCUCCUUGAAAAAAAAAUUAUUUUUGAAAUGUUAAUAAGGGGAAGGUGGUCAUGGAAUAAAAUUUCUAUUGGGUUUGAGGUUUUUUGGGGGAAGGCAGAGCCCUAUGAGAGGGGAUAUGGGAUACACAAGGGGCUGCUUUGCAUUUCUCUAUAUUUAUUUUAUCUGUUUACAUUUUAGGUGAAUGUGAUACAAAAAUCAGUAAGUGCAAUUGUUUUUUCUCUGCAAAGUUAAACCACAGCAAGGUGACAGAUUUGCUUAAGCUCAUUGUUGUAUUUACAAAUAAUUUGGAUGGGUGAUACGGAGGUUGUGUGCCUGGUACUUUAUCUUUGAAAAUGGGAGUGGAAAGGAUGUUUCCUGCAGGAAAAUUAAAUUUCCAGUCUGCAAAGACAUUAGGAUUUCUUUUCAAGACUAACAUUCCCCAAAAAAGUGGUAUUUCAACAUACAACCGCCAGGAUAAAGUGAGAAAAAAGAAAUUUUCCUGCUCUGAGUGCUUUAGGGAUGCUAUACAUACACAUAAAAAGAAGGAAAUAUUUUUUAAUAUUUUUUUCCUGUUUAUUUUUCUUUUUCUCCUUCUUUCCUUUCCAGAGGAGCGUGAUAGAAAAAUAAGUAAGUGUCAUUCUUCACAGUGCUUUUGGGGUAAAAAUCAUCCCUUGGCGUUUGGGGGAGAGGAGCCUCUCUGAUACCCUAUCCCUGAAAAAUGAUAAAUGAGAUUAUUUUCCCCAAAUUUGAUUGUACACAUGGGGCUGCAGAGAAAAAUAAAACAAUAAAAAUUAAUAAUGUUUUUCCUCCUUGCAGCCAAGCUCUCAGCAGAAAUACGUAAGUCUUUUUUUUUUUUUUCCAAGCCACACUGACAGUUUUAUCCUUAGAAACCUCUUUGUUGGAGUUGAUUUUUCGCUGCUUUAACUGAAAUAAUGUAUUUUUUUUCUAUUUUCUAGGUAGGCUCACAGCUCUGCUUGGUAAGUCUGCUUUGUGACCAGAACAUCCCAUGGGGUUUAUUUUGAUUAAAUCUGCACGAUUUUGUGCAGUUAGGUUGGAGGGACCUCUGCAGGUCUCUGAUCCAACCUCCUGGUCCUCACCAAGGCUUAUGCCAAGGUGAGACCAAGUUGCUUGGG